UCUGAUUAAUUUUGAAAGGGCAAGUUUAAAUUGACUCCAUUUAAGAUGAGACUUCAUCUCCUCUUACUCCUCUCCAUGGUUCCUCGUCAAGAUUGACUUUGUCCUGAAGGUCCAGGUGUUCAUUGCUUAGAUAGCUUGUCCCAGUUGGCAUUCAUGGGUUUGGAUGCCAGGCCUGGGCACUGUCCCUGAGCACUUCUGCUCGAGGCUAGUACUCUACCACUUGAGCUCCACUUCCAGCAUU